GAUGAACGCUGGCGGCGUGCCUAAUACAUGCAAGUCGAGCGAACGGACGAGAAGCUUGCUUCUCUGAUGUUAGCGGCGGACGGGUGAGUAACACGUGGAUACCCUACCUAUAAGACUGGGAUAACUUCGGGAAACCGGAGCUAAUACCGGAUAAUAUUUUGAACCGCAUGGUUCAAAAGUGAAAGACGGUCUUGCUGUCACUUAUAGAUGGAUCCGCGCUGCAUUAGAUAGUUGGUAAGGUAACGGCUUACCAAGGCAACGAUGCAUAGCCGACCUGAGAGGGUGAUCGGCCACACUGGAACUGAGACACGGUCCAGACUCCUACGGGAGGCAGCAGUAGGGAAUCUUCCGCAAUGGGCGAAAGCCUGACGGAGCAACGCCGCGUGAGUGAUGAAGGUCUUCGGAUCGUAAAACUCUGUUAUUAGGGAAGAACAUAUGUGUAAGUAACUGUGCACAGCUUGACGGUACCUAAUCAGAAAGCCACGGCUAACUACGUG
rnacentral:rRNA from 1 species